CAGUAGCCGCGGGAAAACGUAGGGUGCAAGCGUUAAUCGGAAUUACUGGGCGUAAAGCGUGCGCAGGCGGUGUUGUAAGACUGAUGUGAAAUCCCCGGGCUCAACCUGGGAACUGCAUUUGUGACUGUAUAGCUAGAGUACGGCAGAGGGGGAUGGAAUUCCGCGUGUAGCAGUGAAAUGCGUAGAUAUGCGGAGGAACACCGAUGGCGAAGGCAAUCCCCUGGGCCUGUACUGACGCUCAUGCACGAAAGCGUGGGGAGCAAACAGGAUUAGAUACCCCUGUAGUCCCUGUCUCUUAUAC
rnacentral:rRNA from 1 species